AUUGAACGCUGGCGGCAUGCCUUACACAUGCAAGUCGAACGGCAGCACGGGUGCUUGCACCUGGUGGCGAGUGGCGAACGGGUGAGUAAUACAUCGGAACAUGUCCCGUAGUGGGGGAUAGCCCGGCGAAAGCCGGAUUAAUACCGCAUACGAUCCACGGAUGAAAGCGGGGGACCUUCGGGCCUCGCGCUAUAGGGUUGGCCGAUGGCUGAUUAGCUAGUUGGUGGGGUAAAGGCCUACCAAGGCGACGAUCAGUAGCUGGUCUGAGAGGACGACCAGCCACACUGGGACUGAGACACGGCCCAGACUCCUACGGGAGGCAGCAGUGGGGAAUUUUGGACAAUGGGCGAAAGCCUGAUCCAGCAAUGCCGCGUGUGUGAAGAAGGCCUUCGGGUUGUAAAGCACUUUUGUCCGGAAAGAAAUCCUUGACUCUAAUACAGUCGGGGGAUGACGGUACCGGAAGAAUAAGCACCGGCUAACUACGUG
rnacentral:rRNA from 1 species